rnacentral:rRNA from 1 species
GACGAACGCUGGCGGCGUGCUUAACACAUGCAAGUCGAGCGGAAAGGCCACUUCGGUGGUACUCGAGCGGCGAACGGGUGAGUAACACGUGAGUAAUCUGCCCCUGGCUUUGGGAUAGCCACCGGAAACGGUGAUUAAUACCGGAUAUGACAUGGACUCGCAUGGGUUUGUGUGGAAAGUUUUUCGGCCAGGGAUGUGCUCGCGGCCUAUCAGCUUGAUGGUGAGGUAAUGGCUCACCAUGGCUUCGACGGGUAGCCGGCCUGAGAGGGUGACCGGCCACACUGGGACUGAGACACGGCCCAGACUCCUACGGGAGGCAGCAGUGGGGAAUAUUGGACAAUGGGCCGAAGCUUGAUCCAGCAACGCCGCGUGAGGGAUGACGGCUUCGGGUUGUAAACCUCUUUCAGUACCGACGAAGCGAAAGUGACGGUAGGUACAGAAGAAGCACCGGCUAACUACGUGC